UGGGAUUAAAGAUGUGCGCUGCCUCC
rnacentral:piRNA from 1 species